UCAAUUGUAUACAGCUAGCUCUCUGCAUCUCCCACAUGGUCGCCCACUGAAGCUAAGCAUGGCUUCGCCCGGUCAGUCCUUGGAUGUGAGACCACAUGGGAAAGCUUGGUUGCAUUAGUG
rnacentral:rRNA from 1 species